AUCACGGAAAUCGUACCCGUGGUUAUAAUAGUUCAAUUACAACUAAAGCAAACUACCGGGUUUUGUGAAUUACGUAAUUCCUAAUGAGGUGACCGUGUAUGAAAAUCCCAUGACUAUAGAGUAUAGGAGCCGUUUAAAGCAUGAAUACUCUCAAACUGUCACUGUGCCAUUUUGUGCUGCCAUUAGGUGAGAUCUGCAAAAAUGAAGUACUAAAACAAAGAAAAGUAUGCAAUCAAACCAUUCUGAUCAAACCUACAGGAAUGCAAUUUUAACAUUAUAAAGAUUUUUCCAAAAAAAUUGCUUGGCUAAACUUGGACUCAAGCGGAAGCAUGAUAAUUCAAAGAAAACAAUUCAUGAACUUACUUCUAAUUAGGAAACUAGAACAAAAUCCAAACUUAAUAACAGACCUAGGUUAAAGACUCAAAUCGAAUGGAAAAUCCAAGAACAUGCUAAGAAUGUAGUACCGACUAACGGGUCUUAUUAACGAUUACAUCAAUCUGCUCAAAUUUCAGUAACUUCAUCUUACUUCAAACAAAUUCUAGGAGACUAUCGAAAGCUUCAACUCAUUUUAGAAUUUUUCUUUAAUGAAAACUGAAGAAAGAAAAUUAAGAAGAAAUCAAACUAAACUGAAAACAUCAAUUGCGAUACACAAAAAUCCUCACAGCCGCUACAUGGGAUUCAACUCACAACCAAGAAAAUCCCUUCAAUACCAACCAUCCACGAGCUUAAGCUAGCUGACAUCGACACCAAGAGAAACAUAAGCCAAACAUGACAAAAGGAAAUCAAACCUUAAUGAGCUAUUGCUAAAAUUUAAAUCAGUCACACUCGGACAAGCUGAAAUGUAGACCAGCUACUGCUUUAGAACAAGCAUUAAGUCGCUUAUCUUUUAGCAUUCGUAGCAGGUCUUGAUAAAUACUAUUGACUAAACAACACAACAGUAAAAAAAACAACUGCUUGCUGAUUUCAUAAAUUUAUAUUGAAGCAAAAGAUGAACAACAAAUCCUACAUUAACUGGACACGGCAAACUACAACUCAAACUAGCAGAAAUAGCAGCUGAAAUUACACAGCAAUACAGCAAACUGGACAAAAACAUGUUAGAGGAACUGAACUUGCAAGAUUUCUUAGGACAACUUUAGGUCACAGCCCAUGAAUCAAAUUCACGAUUCUCAGUCAACAACACCCCAAAUCAGUCUCCAUUCGUAUUCACAUUUUCAUAAAAAAAAAAACAGAACCACUCAAACAGACAUGUUCAAACUCAGAAAACUAACUCAUAGCUCAAUCAAGCAUCCCAAAAUUGUUCAGUGAUGUUUUACUUCUCAGGUUUCCAGAAAUCGAUUCAAACAAACAAGACAUUUCAACUCACAUAAAAUAGCAAAAUAGGAGAGUUUGGAAGUGAACCUGAAAGUGAACUUUUGAUUAAUGUAAUUUAAUGAUUACAACGAUUCUCAGAGGAAGCGAGUCCAAACAGAGAUCGCGCUGAACUCACAAAUCAGCAGCUAAACGAACAGCGUUGGAGCAGCUCGAAACCAACAGCACUCAGUGGACUUCCAUUAACUCAAAAUAAAAUUCAGAAAAAAUGAACUAAACCUUCGAGUUCAAACCAGAUCCAUCAUGAGAAUGAAAACUUCUGAACUUCAAGAUGAAAAGAACAAAGGACUAAGACUAAAAACGAAAACGAUUUUUUUAAAAUAUUUUUCUAUUGUAACUGGAAUUAAACCAAGAUGGUUUCAGAUAAACAAAAAUGAAAAGAAAGCUACAUUCGAAUCCUAAUUUCCAGGUGACCUCUCUUCUCUCCAAAAAAAUCCUCCUCAAUCUGUUUAGAGCAUCCCUUUUAUAACCAAACCUAGAAGCUUUUUCAAAAAUCCGAAAAUAUUCCUCUCUAGAACGAAUUCGGACAGAUGGAGAGAGGGGAUCGAUUCAAAAUCAAUCUACGGUCCCCAUUUUUCGGAAUUCAUUCUCAAGAAAGCGCAUAGGAGACGAAAAUCUGUCAGAGGCCGUUAGAAUAUUCGGUGACGUGGAGAGAUGGGGGGUGCGUGGGGUGAAUUUGAGCUUACUCGCCUGAAAUUUGGCGAGUUUGGACACGGCUCUGAAGUGAAGAAGAGAGUGAAUAGUGUGCGUUUCUCUGAGUUUGGGACUUAGGUUUCUUGGUAUUUUUGUGUUAUAAGUGGGACGGGCCGUGUCAGCCAGGCGG
rnacentral:lncRNA from 1 species